GAUCCCGGAGGUCAACACCCGGCAGCGCUGUGCGCCCCCGGGUGGUUUUCG
rnacentral:sRNA from 1 species